rnacentral:rRNA from 1 species
GGCACUACGGUGCUGAAGCAACAAAUGCCCUGCUUCCAGGAAAAGCCUCUAAGCAUCAGGUAACAUCAAAUCGUACCCCAAACCGACACAGGUGGUCAGGUAGAGAAUACCAAGGCGCUUGAGAGAACUCGGGUGAAGGAACUAGGCAAAAUGGUGCCGUAACUUCGGGAGAAGGCACGCUGAUAUGUAGGUGAAGUCCCUCGCGGAUGGAGCUGAAAUCAGUCGAAGAUACCAGCUGGCUGCAACUGUUUAUUAAAAACACAGCACUGUGCAAACACGAAAGUGGACGUAUACGGUGUGACGCCUGCCCGGUGCCGGAAGGUUAAUUGAUGGGGUUAGCGCAAGCGAAGCUCUUGAUCGAAGCCCCGGUAAACGGCGGCCGUAACUAUAACGGUCCUAAGGUAGCGAAAUUCCUUGUCGGGUAAGUUCCGACCUGCACGAAUGGCGUAAUGAUGGCCAGGCUGUCUCCACCCGAGACUCAGUGAAAUUGAACUCGCUGUGAAGAUGCAGUGUACCCGCGGCAAGACGGAAAGACCCCGUGAACCUUUACUAUAGCUUGACACUGAACAUUGAGCCUUGAUGUGUAGGAUAGGUGGGAGGCUUUGAAGUGUGGACGCCAGUCUGCAUGGAGCCGACCUUGAAAUACCACCCUUUAAUGUUUGAUGUUCUAACGUUGACCCGUAAUCCGGGUUGCGGACAGUGUCUGGUGGGUAGUUUGACUGGGGCGGUCUCCUCCUAAAGAGUAACGGAGGAGCACGAAGGUUGGCUAAUCCUGGUCGGACAUCAGGAGGUUAGUGCAAUGGCAUAAGCCAGCUUGACUGCGAGCGUGACGGCGCGAGCAGGUGCGAAAGCAGGUCAUAGUGAUCCGGUGGUUCUGAAUGGAAGGGCCAUCGCUCAACGGAUAAAAGGUACUCCGGGGAUAACAGGCUGAUACCGCCCAAGAGUUCAUAUCGACGGCGGUGUUUGGCACCUCGAUGUCGGCUCAUCACAUCCUGGGGCUGAAGUAGGUCCCAAGGGUAUGGCUGUUCGCCAUUUAAAGUGGUACGCGAGCUGGGUUUAGAACGUCGUGAGACAGUUCGGUCCCUAUCUGCCGUGGGCGCUGGAGAACUGAGGGGGGCUGCUCCUAGUACGAGAGGACCGGAGUGGACGCAUCACUGGUGUUCGGGUUGUCAUGCCAAUGGCACUGCCCGGUAGCUAAAUGCGGAAGAGAUAAGUGCUGAAAGCAUCUAAGCACGAAACUUGCCCCGAGAUGAGUUCUCCCUGACUCCUUGAGAGUCCUGAAGGAACGUUGAAGACGACGACGUUGAUAGGCCGGGUGUGUAAGCGCAGCGAUGCGUUGAGCUAACCGGUACUAAUGAACCGUGAGGCUUAACCUUACAACGCCGAAG